CACGCUGGACUAAUCCGGUUCAGACCGGUUCAACAUCUCCUACCCAAACAGUGUUGUUGAUGUUAUUCUAUGUAGAACAAGAUAGCAGCUGAGUCAGUUAACUCCUCCGGCAAGCCAUGGCGGCGCCACCACCGUCGAAGCCUCUCACUCCUCACGACUGGGAAACCCUAAUCGACGAUUUCCAGUACGCCGGCGAUAAAUGGCGCUCUCUCGAUCCUCCUCUCACCGAUCUCCUCUUCACCUCUCUUCUCCGCAAGGACUUCCCCCUCAACCACAAGCUCCAGCUCCUCAUCUUUCUCGACGAAUUCUCCACCUCCCUCUUCUCCGACCACCACCACAACCACCUCGACCGCCUCCUCGACGCCCUCCGAACCACCAUCCACGCGCCACCCGACGCGGCUCACAUAACCCCCGCCUUCAAGGAACAAUUCAUGGUCUCCGCCACCUCGAUCAUCAUCUGCGUAACCGAAAACGAUACGGUUAGGGCUCACACGGAGAGUUUGGUGGAGCUGCUGUUGACGGUUAUCAACCGCCCGAAUUUCGGGUCGGAUCGGCAUACCCGAUCCAUCGCGUGCGAGUGCUUGAGGGAGUUGGAACGAUCGACGCUGUGCUUGCUCUCCGACGUGGCGGGGCACUUGUGGAGCCUCUGCCAGAACGAGCGGACGCACGCUUCUCAGUCAUACAUCUUGCUCUUCACCACCGUCAUUCACAACAUCGUUGCUCGGAAGCUUAGUGUUUCCAUUCUCAACACCUCUCUUCCUAUGAUUCCUUUCAACAUGCCGAAGAUAGAUGAUUCCGGUGCGGGUUUGAAUUACAAGGAGUUGAGGAGGGCGUUGGCGUUUUUGCUUGAGUGGCCUCAGGUGAUGACCCCUUGUGGGAUGAUGGAGUUCGUGUCGAUGAUGAUACCGGUGGCUGUGGCGUUGGAAUUGCAGCCCUCCAUGCUCAAGGUGCAGUUGUUUGGAAUGAUUCAUUCCUAUAACCCUGUGCUUUGCCAUGUUGUUUUGACCAUGUAUGUGCAAUUUUUAGAUGCUUUUGAUGGUCAAGAGGGAGAGGUUUCUCGCAGGCUCUUGUUGAUUUCGAAAGAAGCUCAGCAUUCUUUGGUGUUUCGCUUGUUGGCGGUUGAGUGGUUGUUGGGGUUCAAUCAAUUGAUUUUCAGUAGAAAUGUUGAGAAGACUAAGCCCACCAUUGAAGCUUGCUCUGCAUUUGGUCCGGCUUUGUUUGAUCCGCUGUCUUUGAAGGCCUUAAAGCUUGAACUUCUUGCAUUUUGCUCCAUGUGUGUUCAUGUCUUGAGACUCAAAAGUGGUAAUGACUCUCAUCAUGUUGAGGAUGGUUUCAUUGAUCCAGUGAAGCUGUUUGAACAUGGUCUCCUUUGUGUCUCAUCUUUCAAAUCGCUGCCUCCGGGGAGCACAGAGAUUGCCAUUGCGUUCCGUGCCUUCCAUAAAUUUCUCAUUGCUGCUUCUCCUCAUGCUGACAAUGAUCCUUCCACCACAAGAAAUCUGUUGGACUCCAUGAUAUUUUGUACUAUGCAGGGGAUGCUUGUGAACAUGAUGUUGGAGAGUCGGAAACUGGUUCCUGUUGUUGUUACUUCCGUUGACCGUUUACUCUCCUGUCAAAAGCAUUCUUGGUUGGGUGAGCGCUUACUUCAGAAAUUUGAUGAGCACUUGCUUCCAAAAGUGGGGAUGGAUUAUAAGUUGGUUUAUUUCUUCCCAAUAUUUGAUAGAAUUGCACAGAAUCAGACAAUACCUCCGCGUGGAUUGAUAGAACUGCUAACAAAUUUCAUGAUUUUCCUGGUGGAGAAACAUGGCCCGGAUACAUGGAUGAAGUCUUGGUCCCAGGGAAGUAGAGCUCUUGGAAUUUGUCGAACUAUGUUGAUGCACCACCAUAGUUCUAGAUUGUUCCUUAGACUAUCUCGCCUGCUUGCUUUUACUUGUCUCUACUUUCCUGAUUUGGAAGUCCGUGAUAAUUCAAGGACCUACUUGCGUAUGCUGGUCUGCAUUCCAGGGAAGAAGCUUAGAGACAUCCUAAGCGUGGAGGACAUGAUCCUUGGGAUUUCACCAUCUUCCCACUCAACCUCUUUUUUCAAUGUUCAAUCACCUCGAGCUUCUCAGAAAUUCAAGACAAUAAAAAACUUACCAUCCUGCAUUCACCUGGAGCGUCUGACCCCAUUGCUUGUUAAACAGUUUUGGUCUUUGUCGUUGUCAAAUUUAGUCAUAAGUAACACCAAACCUGCCUAUCUUGAGGGCAUCAGGGACCUACAAGCCCCUGUUGAGGAAAAAGAAUCUUCUGACAGUUCCAAUGCACAGAUCAUUCCUGAAACUGGAAGAAUUAAUCAACCACAAGAGCUGCUUCGAGUUAUGGAUUCUAAAGUUGCAGAAAUUUUGAACACAUUAAGGAAGUACUUUUCAUGCAUUCCUGACUUCAGACAUGUGCCAGGACUCAAAGUUAGAAUAUCAUGCAGUUUGAGUUUUGAAUCUAGUACUUUCAAUCGGAUGUUGGGAAUCAAGGAUGCUGCCACACCCCUGGAAGAGAUAGAUUCACUUCCUGCUAUAUAUGCUACUGUGUUAAAAUUCUCAUCUUCUGCACCUUAUGGGUCGAUUCCUUCCUAUCAUAUACCUUUUCUUCUUGGUGAUCCUCACAGUAAAGAUGAUGCAUCUCAAAAUGGCUCGCUAAGUAUUGUUCCAGUUGGAAAUGAUUCCAGAGGAGAGGAAAAAUAUAGAGCCCCUGUUAUGAUUGACUUGGAACCCAGGGAACCGACACCGGGAAUAGUUGAUGUUCACAUUGAAACAAAUGCAGAAAAUGGUCAGAUUGUCCAGGGUCAACUUCAGGGAAUCACAGUAGGCAUAGAAGACAUGUUUCUCAAGGCUAUUGUUCCACCAGACAUCCCAGAAAAUGCAAUGCCUCGAUACAAGUUUGACUUGUUCGCUGCGUUAUGGGAGGCAUGUGGCUCAUCCUCCAGCACUGGGCGCGAAACCUUUCAAUUGAAGGGGGGGAAAGGGAUUGCUGCCAUCAGUGGAACUCAAUCUGUGAAACUUCUUGAUGUUCCCGCAGCCUCUUUGAUCCAGGCAACUGAGUACCAUCUGGCUCGCUUUGUUGUAGGUGUGAGUGGGGAGCCACUUAUUGAUGUUGUAUUGGAAGGGGGAAUCAUUCAGAAUGUCAUUUGGGAAGAUGCUUCCUCUGAUGCUACAGUUACUAAUCCCGAUACCGGUCCACUUCGUCUUACUUACAGUGGUGAAGAGCAGCAUGAGAAGGGGGUUAUUAGCUAUAGCAGAAAAAGAAACCUUGGCUGUUUUCUUGUUCUGAUAUUUCUUCCACCGCGGUUCCAUCUCCUUUUCCAAAUGGAAGUUGGUGAUGUUUCAACUUUAGUUCGUAUUCGCACCGAUCACUGGCCUAGCUUAGCCUACAUUGAUGAUUAUUUAGAAGCUUUAUACCUGUCAUAAUAGCUAUUGUUUCAGUUACAUCGAUGCUGCAUAAAGAUUUGCAAUUCUCAACCAGCUCGUGGCAAUUGUGGUGGUCUAGGGGAUGCUUUUCAGGUGCAGUAGUAUCUGUCCUUACAAGGGUCUUCCUCCCUUCCAAUUGGGUGAAAAGGUAGCAACGGAUCCGGUAACUUCCUUGCUGUGGACAUAUAAGGGACGGAUUUGGAUCCUCUCACGUGUAAAAAAACUUGAGAGUGUCAAGUUUUACCAUCUCACCAUUAACUUUUGUGUAGAUAAUAAAUGAAAAAUAAAAUAAAAUAAAAUUAAUGGUGAGAUGAUGAAACUUGACACUCUCAAGUUUUUUUACACAUGAGAGGAUCCAAACCCAUAAGGGACUAAGUUGCAGUAAGCUUUGUAAUAAUACAGUGUAAUGAGAAUUAGUGAGUUAGAUAGUACGGUUAUUCUGUUGUAAUAACUGAGCAGUUAGUUGUGAUUUGAGUUACAACUAUUCUGUAUAAAUGCCCCUGUAAACUCAAUCAUGUAAUUAAAUUGAUUCUUUCCAUCUUCA